GGUAAAUGUGAUCUUAUUUUGUGGGUUUAUAUCUCGUUGGAGUAUGUGUUUUUGUAUAUUUAACUGAACCUUGUGUUAAAAUGAAUAAUAUUCUCAAUAAUCAAACCCUGAGGUUUUUUUUUAAAAAAAAACUCUGGAACCUUCAGCAACUUCACCCUGGUCCUUCUUAACCGCCAUUUUUACAUUUUCUAUGAAAUCAUUGAUAAUUAUGUCUAGAACUAGGGAGAUAGCCGGAAGUGCUGAAGUACUUUGGUUAUCAUUGCCUAUUUUGUAUAUCCCUCCGCUGAGAAGGUAAGGGCAAGGGAAAGGCCGACCAAGCAUGAGUUGGAGAGUAUGGAGUGGUGCGUACAUAUUUGGCCUACCUGGCCGUCACGACUGGGGUAGUUUUGAGGAACACUAUAUGAAUGAUAGAUUUUGUCGCUGAGGUCGACUGUGUAAUAACUUCUGAAUUGUAAUUACGUUUUAAACAAUAUUUUGGGGAUCCCAAUGUAACACUUUUACAACUUAAAUGAAUGCCCAAACUUUUAUAUUGAA